UUUUUUUUUUCCCCUUCUUUUUCCCCCAACCAUCAUCAUUGCUAUACAGGGAGAAUUCAGUUCAAUUUCUGUUUUAAAUGUGAAAUGUUUGAAUUAGCUCAUAAUGUCUUUCAGCUUGCAGAGGAAAGAGCUGGUCUUUGAAAAAGAAAAGAAAAAAAAGUUUUAUUUUUUGCAAAAUAAAAAAUGAAAAGCUGCAGAAUAAUCUUAAAUCAUUUUAUACUGCACAUAAAACUUGAAAAUAAUGAGAGCUCUUCAAUUUAGAAAUGAUUGGGGUUCUAGGCAUAUGAAUCAGAGAGAGCUGUAAAAUUAUUAGAACACUACAGUAUCUUUCGUAAGCAUUUCAAUUCAGAGGUGAUCAAAAAUUCUGGACUUGCAGAGCAAUUUACUUGGCAUUUGCAGGAAAGCCUCACUCUUUCAAACUGAAGCACUCUUAACAAUAUGAAGAACUCCAAUAAUUUUAAAUUGAUGUAUACCAUACAUGCCUAGAAAUCCAAUUUAGUCUUUAAAUAAAAACAUUAUAACUUCAGAAGUAUGAAGGGCCCACCCACAACAUAACAGCAAUCUAGCCUUUCCAAUUCACAUGUCAAUUCAGCCUAGCUGUUAUUUCUCCCGUGCUAGGUUUUUCUGGCAUGAGGAAUUGCUGAAAACAUUACAGAUGAGUGCUUCUUUUAACCCUGUCCUUCAGGCUUGCUUUCUGCUUAUUUAUGAAUUUUUUCCCAAACUCAGUGAACUUCCAGACAGCCUCAGAUUACAGACUGAUUUGCAACGUGUAAAAUGGUAUUUCUAAAUACUUUUAAAUAUGGCAGAUUAAAACAUAAGACAGUGUUUAAGCCACAUCAAAGAUGCAACAUAUUCUUAACCACAAUUUUAAUUCAUCUCACUUUAAGUUUGUGAAUAUGUAUAUCUAUUUUUAAUUUACGUGAGUUUCGGUUUGCUAAUAAGUAGUUCUAUUCUUAAUGGAAACAUAAAGUACAUUGAAUUCUAAAACAAUAUUGAUAGAGCAGGAAAAUUAAGUCUAAAUUUUAAAAGUUACAUCUGAAGUAUACAUGAAAAAAAAAAAGUUCCCUGAGUAAAAGAGGUCUUGUGUUGAGCCCUCUGCUGCUCCCAGGCAAAUCUUCCUUCUGUGUAAAACAGACUCCUGUCACCAGCCAAUUUGUGAAGUCUCUGUUUUGCAUAGCAGAAAACACCAUUCCAGUCCUACUGGCAAUACCAGAAACCCCUCCUCUAGCCCACAAGGCUUGUGAGUGGUCACAGGAGAGCUACUGUCUAUAGAAACUCAAGGGGUUUUUUUCUUAUUGACACAGAUGUAGGUCUGCGUGAGACAUACAUAAGGCAGACAGUAGCUUCUCCAAUAUACAUCAUGCCAAAACAAAAAAAAAAAAAAAAAAGUGAAGUUGGAAGGAACUCCUGGAGGUCAUCUGGUGCGAC
rnacentral:lncRNA from 1 species